GACGAACGCUGGCGGCGUGCUUAACACAUGCAAGUCGAGCGAGUGGAUUCCCUUCGGGGAUGAAGCUAGCGGCGGACGGGUGAGUAACACGUGGGCAACCUGCCUUAUAGAGGGGGAUAGCCUUCCGAAAGGAAGAUUAAUACCGCAUAACAUCAGAUUAUCGCAUGGUAGACUGAUCAAAGGAGCAAUCCGCUAUAAGAUGGGCCCGCGUCGCAUUAGCUAGUUGGUGAGGUAACGGCUCACCAAGGCGACGAUGCGUAGCCGACCUGAGAGGGUGAUCGGCCACAUUGGGACUGAGACACGGCCCGGACUCCUACGGGAGGCAGCAGUGGGGAAUAUUGCACAAUGGGGGAAACCCUGAUGCAGCAACGCCGCGUGAGUGAUGAAGGCCUUCGGGUUGUAAAGCUCUUUGAUCAGGGACGAUAAUGACGGUACCUGAAGAACAAGCCACGGCUAACUACGUGCCAGCAGCCGCCGCGGUAA
rnacentral:rRNA from 1 species